rnacentral:rRNA from 1 species
AUGGAUGGUGGCACCUCGAGCAAGAGACGAGUAGAAGCCCCAAGAGAAGGACAUAAUGUCAGCAUGGGGAUGGACGCCCUCGACUGCCCCGUCUGCUUUCAUCCCCUCAGGCCUCCUAUAUACCAGUGUUCUGUGGGGCACUUCAUAUGCUCAUCUUGCCGUCCGAAGCUCGGGCGCAACAAGUGCCACUUAUGCUCUGCUGAAACUACCUUCCAGCGCUGUUUAGGGAUGGAACGUCUCAUGGAGUCGGUCAAGGUUCCUUGCUCCAAUGCCAAAUAUGGAUGCGUUGAGAAGCUCACUUACUACCAGAAAGAUGAACAUGAAAAGGAAUGCCCGAACGCUCCAUGUUUCUGCCCAGAGUCCAGCUGCAGCUUUGCAGGGGCAACAGAUGCCCUCCUUGACCAUUUCUCCUCCCAGCACAAGUGGCCGUCUACAACCAUCAAAUACUCUGAAGAUGUAAUGUUCCGCCUAGAACCAGGCUUACACUUUCUGCGUACCAAAGACAGACAAAUUUUCCUUCGCAACGUGGUACUAGAGCCAGUCGGGCAUGCCAUCUCUGUUGUCAGCAUCCAACCUAAACCUAAAAACUCCAAGUUCAUGUGUAAUAUGUCCUAUGGUUCCUCUCUGACCGUCUAUUUUCAGAGCUCAACUUACUUACGAAGCUCAUCGUUGUCUGAUGGGCUACCCAAGGGAUAUAAUUUAAUUCUGCCCAAGGAUGAGAUAGCUGAUGAUGGAAAGGCUACCUUUCUUACGUUCUCCAUUGAUGAUCCUAAUCCUAAAGUAAAGGCGCGUGAGCCCAUAUGUCUGAAACCAGUACACGGUGUAUGA